UACUCCUACGGGAGGCAGCAGUGGGGAAUCUUCCGCAAUGGACGAAAGUCUGACGGAGCAACGCCGCGUGAGUGAUGACGGCCUUCGGGUUGUAAAGCUCUGUUAAUCGGGACGAAAGGCCUUCUUGCGAAUAGUGAGAAGGAUUGACGGUACCGGAAUAGAAAGCCACGGCUAACUACGUGCCAGCAGCCGCGGUAAUACGUAGGUGGCAAGCGUUGUCCGGAAUUAUUGGGCGUAAAGCGCGCGCAGGCGGAUAGGUCAGUCUGUCUUAAAAGUUCGGGGCUUAACCCCGUGAUGGGAUGGAAACUGCCGAUCUAGAGUAUCGGAGAGGAAAGUGGAAUUCCUAGUGUAGCGGUGAAAUGCGUAGAUAUUAGGAAGAACACCAGUGGCGAAGGCGACUUUCUGGACGAAAACUGACGCUGAGGCGCGAAAGCCAGGGGAGCGAACGGGAUUAGAUACCCCGGUAGUCCUGGCCGUAAACGAUGGGUACUAGGUGUAGGAGGUAUCGACCCCUUCUGUGCCGGAGUUAACGCAAUAAGUACCCCGCCUGGGGAGUACGACCGCAAGGUUGAAACUCAAAGGAAUUGACGGA
rnacentral:rRNA from 1 species